GCUUUUGUAGUCAGGCUCUUUGAUUGGGUUGUGGUGUAGAGCUUGUGUCAGCUGGAGAGAACAGAAAACAAACGAGUCGUGGCCUGGUCAUCAGUGGGGUCAUUAAACCCACCUUCACCUGCUCAGGGUGCUUAACACAUCCAAGCUCAGCGCUGCCCUCAAUCAGUGUCGUAGUUCUGCGUGAGAAACCGAGGAGAAAAACAGAGUGACUUGGAGAGAAAAAAAAGAUGGAGAAACAGUUAAAAGAGGUGGCUCUUUACAAGUUGUGAUGCUCCUCGACUCAUUACCACUGCCAAAUGAA
rnacentral:lncRNA from 1 species